rnacentral:rRNA from 1 species
ACUCAAAUGAAUUGACGGGGGCCCGCACAAGCAGCGGAGCAUGUGGUUUAAUUCGAAGCAACGCGAAGAACCUUACCAGAACUUGACAUCCCUUGCAUUACUCUUAACCGAGGAAAUCCUUCGGGACAAGGAGACAGGUGGUGCAUGGUUGUCGUCAGCUCGUGUCGUGAGAUGUUGGGUUAAGUCCCGCAACGAGCGCAACCCUUAUUUUUAGUUGCCAUCAUUAAGUUGGGCACUCUAGAGAGACUGCCGGAGAUAAUCCGGAGGAAGGCGGGGAUGACGUCAAAUCAUCAUGCCCCUUAUGUUCUGGGCUACACACGUGCUACAAUGGGUAAAACAACGAGCAGCAAGCUGGUGACAGCAAGCAAAUCUCUAAAAGUUACCCCCAGUUCGGAUUGUAGGCUGAAACUCGCCUACAUGAAGUUGGAGUUGCUAGUAAUCGCGGAUCAGCAUGCCGCGGUGAAUACGUUCCCGGGCCUUGUACACACCGCCCGU